UUCCGGUUGAUCCUGCCAGAGGUCACUGCUAUUGGGAUUCGACUAAGCCAUGCGAGUCGCGAGGGUUCGGCCCUCGGCGGACGGCUCAGUAACACGUAGAUAAUUUGCCCUUAGGUGGAGGAUAACCUCGGGAAACUGAGAAUAAUACUCCAUAGAUUUAGAAUGCUGGAAUGCUUUUAAAUUGAAAGAUUUAUCGCCUAAGGAUAAGUCUGCGGACUAUCAGGUCGUAGUUAGGGUAAAUACCUGACUAGCCGACGACGGAUACGGGUAGUGAGAGCUCUAGCCCGGAGAUGAUAUCUGAGACACGAUAUCAGGCCCUACGGGGCGCAGCAGGCGCGAAAACUUCGCACUGUGCGAAAGCACGACGAGGGAAUCCCAAGUGCUGGCUCGUAAGAGUCAGCUGUUUCUUUGUCUUAAAUAACAGAGAGAGUAAGAGCU
rnacentral:rRNA from 1 species